rnacentral:rRNA from 1 species
ACGCACGCUGGCGGCAUGCCUAACACAUGCAAGUCGAACGAGACCUUCGGGUCUAGUGGCGCACGGGUGCGUAACGCGUGGGAACCUGCCCUUAGGUUCGGAAUAACUCCCCGAAAGGGGUGCUAAUACCGGAUAAUGUCUUCGGACCAAAGAUUUAUCGCCUUUGGAUGGGCCCGCGUUGGAUUAGCUAGUUGGUAGGGUAAAAGCCUACCAAGGCGACGAUCCAUAGCUGGUCUGAGAGGAUGAUCAGCCACACUGGGACUGAGACACGGCCCAGACUCCUACGGGAGGCAGCAGUGGGGAAUAUUGGACAAUGGGCGAAAGCCUGAUCCAGCAAUGCCGCGUGAGUGAUGAAGGCCUUAGGGUUGUAAAGCUCUUUUACCCGGGAUGAUAAUGACGGUACCGGGAGAAUAAGCUCCGGCUAACUCCGUG